GAGAAGGGGAAGUAGGAAAGGAUGUGAAACUUGGCCACAGCCAGGCAGGCACCACCCCUGCUGGGUGUCCCACAGCGGUCCCUGGGCCCCUGGGUGGAGGACAGGAGCAUCCAGCUGCACUGUCGCCCAGCUGAGGCAGUGGCAUCAUGGAAGCCCCGUGGGGCUGGCUGGUGGUCUGUGUGCUGGCCAUAUCCCUGGCCUCUACAGUGACCCAGGAUGUGUGCCGAGCACCGAACGGGAGGAAUGGGGCUGCAGGACCACCCGGCCGAGACGGACGGCCAGGCCUCAAGGGGGAGCAAGGGGAGCCCGGGGCUCCUGGCAUGCGGACGGGCAUCCGAGGCCUUAAAGGAGACCAAGGGGACCCUGGGUCCCCGGGAAGCCCUGGCAACAUGGGCUUCCCUGGGCCCAGUGGCCCCCUGGGGCUCCCUGGCUUCCCAGGACCGAAAGGCAUCAAGGGCAACCCAGGAAACAUCAAGGACCAGCCACGGCCGGCCUUCUCAGCCAUAAGGCGGAACCCACCAAUGGGUGGCAACGUGGUCAUCUUCGACACGGUCAUCACCAACCAGGAAGGCCCAUACCAGAACCACACGGGCCGGUUCCUCUGUGCUGUGCCCGGCUACUAUUACUUCACUUUCCAGGUGGUGUCCAAGUGGGACAUCUGCCUGUCCAUCGUGUCGUCUGGGAGGGGCCUGUUCCGGCGCUCCUUGGGCUUCUGUGACACCAACAGCAAGGGAAUUUUCCAGGUGGUGUCCGGGGGUAUGGUUCUCCAGCUACAGCAAGGGGACCAGGUCUGGAUUGAAAAAGACCCCGCCAAGGGCCGCAUUUACCAGGGUUCUGAGGCGGAUAGCGUCUUCAGCGGCUUCCUCAUCUUCCCGUCCAUCUGAGCCCGGGAAGGACCCUCCCGCCCCUGGCCGCACAUGCUUCCUGCUGUGUGACUCUGGCCCACUCCCUCCACCUCUCUGGUUUCUAUGGUCUGCUCUGUACGGGGGUGCUGUUGCUUUAGCUGUCUGAGGGAGAGGGCUGGCUCCCGGGGCCCCGAGAACUUGCUGCCCACUGCACAGUGUAAGAAGAUGGAUUUCUUAGAAUUCUUUCUAGAAUAAACACCUGAGUCCGUGUGUGCUGAGCCUGAGGUUCGGUUGCUACGCUGGACGCUGAGAGGGAGCAUAAGAAUGACAGUGUUGAGUGCUUACAAGAAUGUCAUAGGAGCAGAAGAGGAAGAGAGGAGAGGAGCCUCUCCCGGCUCUGCCAGCCUGGCCCCAGCCCCCAACCCUGCACCAACCAUCACAGACUCCAAGACCAGAUGCAGGGGUGCCAGAGAUGAAUCAUCAGGGGCCCCAGCAAAGGAAGAGGCACCCACAUGCAAAGCCUGGGCCUCCCCCACCACCCAGUAUACA